AGUGCUGACUCAGACUCCAGAAUUCCUGUCCAAGGCUCCAGGAGAGAAAGUCACCAUCAACUGCAAAGCCAGUGAGAGUCUGCUUUGCAUUUUCAGCCCCCUGACAACAGACACUGACGUUCAGACCUGGUAUAAAUGUGGCUGUCACUGGGGAAUGGACCGGUCAGCCUCAGGCAGGUCAGACGGAUCAAGAUGGUGUCACCAUCCCAGCUCCUCGGGCUCCUGCUGCUCUGGAUCCCAGAUGCCAGUGGGGAGAAAGUGCUGACUCAGACUCCAGAAUUCCUGUCCAAGGCUCCAGGAGAGAAAGUCACCAUCAACUGCAAAGCCAGUGAGAGUGUUAGUAACUACUUAUACUGGUACCAGCAGAAACCUGGACAAGCCCCUAAGCUGAUCAUUAAGCAGGCCACCACCCUGAUGCCUGGGGUCCCGCCCCGAUUCAGCGGGAGCGGAUCUGGGAUGGAUUUCACCCUCACCAUCAGUGGUGUGGAAACAGAAGAUGCUGCGGACUAUUAUUGUGGCCAAAGCUAUGUACCUCUCACAGUGCUUCAGCCCGGUACAAAAAUCUCACCAGCUGGUUGAUCGGUGAUGCUUGUCUGACCCAGCUGCUCCCCUUCCCCCUGCAGCUGCUGUGAACCAUCUACAGCACAGCAUCACUCAAUACAGUGCAGUGCUUAGCCCACAAAAGUGCUCAACGAAUAUAACCAGUCGAUUGACUGUCAUGUCUUGAGUGAUGUUAUAGGAAGGUAUUCCAUGCUGCCAGAUAGAAUAGUGAUUGAAGCAGGGAGAGACUGGAGGCAGAGAUGAAGCUAAGCCCUCAAUUCCUCUUCUCCCAAACCCUUCUGUUUUGCCCAUGCUUUGGAUUUUUACCCCUUAUUUACCCCAUCAUCAGCCCUUCAGCAUUUCUGUACGUAUGUAUAGCAUUUAUUUAUAAUAAUACCUAUCUUCCCCUUCAGCCCGUAAGCUCAUUGUGAGCAGGGAG